CUAAAUCUGAAUGUGGUAUAACUGUAACCCACCAUCAAACCAUGAGAGUUACUGUGUAGAAUAUUCUAUGGGAGGGUAAUUUCCGCACUAUAAUAAGAAAACCGUUUGAAGUGAUUCCUAGGCGUGACACGUUUCUCAAUGUUUCAGGAUAUAUGAAUGAGUAGGAGGCCCAAACCCAGAGAAUCCAUGACCUUGAGGACAACGUGAGGAACUUGAGGAAGUUGCUAAGCAGCAGGGAGGUCGAAGUUCAUGACCUCAGUAAUGAACUUAAGGAGUUGAAGAUGUUGAAUCAACAGUUGACUCAGGAAUUGGAUGCAGCCAAAAUGAGAGAGCAGCGUUCAUCUCCAGCCUAUAGCAACAUACAAGAGUUGGAGAGGCGGUAUAAGCAGGUGCUGAGUGAGAAGGAGAUAAUGGCGGGGGAGAUCGUCAAACUCCGCGAUCAGCUGGAGGAGAUAGGGAAGGGCCGAAAUGGUCAGCCAGAUGGGCAGACUAGCGAGGGGAUAAGCUACAACCCCAACAACCCCUACGUCUUACAGAGAAAGAUAGCGGACUUGGAAAGUCAGGUUCAGGAUCUACACGAGGCUAAUGAGACGGCGGUAGGGAAGCUCUCUCAGGCCGAGGAGAGAGUGGAGGAGUUACAGCGGGCCAAUGAAGCCCUGAGGCUGGGUCAGGGGUCACAGAACCUUGACCUCCAGGAGGAAAAUCAGCGCCUGCAUGACCAGAUAUCCAAAAUGUACGAGAAGGGAUACGGUCAUGGUGGUACUAGUACAGACUCUGAGCACAGGAUACAGAUAGAGAUACAGCAGCUGAGGGAGGACAACCGGGCGCUGAGGGAGAGGAACUACAAGCUCCACGAGGAGAGCAUGCAGGUCCGCGAGGAGUUAAUGAAGCUGAAGGAGGAAGGUCAGAGGUCGCUGCCUCCCCGUGAUGUCAGGUCGUCGCCCCGGGAUACCAGGCCACCACGGGACAUCAGGACCAUAUCGCCGCGAGAAGUACGGACACCUCUACACUCCAGGGGAUACAGUCUAGAGAGGUCACUGGACUUAGGAUCUGAGCGAUUUUCCAAAGAUAGAAUUAUCCCAGGCAGGCUUUCCUUGGAGCAGGAGGAUGCACGCCUGCUCAGCAGUAUACACAGACAGACAGACAGCAAGUACAGCAGGACCGAGGGCGAGACUGUCAAUAAAUACAGACCAACCCUGGACAAAAACAGUGAAAUUAAAGACAGUGCUAACAAAGAGGAAUCUCUGUUCAGUCGGAGUAUACAAAAGGCUGAGACCCGGCUCCGGAGCAGUAUCCAACGGGCCGAUGCUAAUUUCAGAAAAAUCACAGAUGGAGAGGAUGCUAAGCCAAGAUUUGACCGAUUUUCCAGGAUGACUAACAGUCUGGACAGACAGACAGACCGAAGAAAAUAUGACCUUGAGGAUACACCAAGGUCAGAGGGGUAUAGAUCAGGUCCCGAUGGUGGUAUAGGAGAUAGAGAACCAAUGUCAGCUACACUACCUCGCUAUAGUGCAUCACGGCAGAUGGAGUCAGAAUACAGGGAAAGGUCCAGGACACCUGAUCCAGCAUCAUACAACACAUACGCUAUCGAAACAGAAUGGCACCGGUAUGACAGAGAGAGAAGGCGACGGAACGACAUCCCAGCCAGUAAAUCCUGCACAGAGCUGUCCAAACCUUCCUACACAGACCCCGCCUACAAGGAGGCGGAGAGAUCCAGCACGUACCAACAGGACGGCAGAUCAGCGCCAAACUUCAACGACAGCAACAGAGAAUGGUCACGGUCUGAGGCAGAUCUUAGGCAUGCUCACGCUCCCUAUAGAGGGCGCUCCAGAACGCCUGACCUUGGGUUGUCAAGGCGACGACCUUCCUCUCCCGGGUACAUGGAUCUCCCAUCACCAAGUCGCUAUCAGCGCACCAUUUAUCUGCACACUGACCAUGCCCCGCGACCUAGAUAUGACUGGGAGGAGGAGCCCAUCCCCCAGACUUCAACUCUGUUGGAGAGCAGUCACACGGACUACCUAUCAGGGUCCUACCACAAACCUGGCAACCCCGCCCUAUCUGUGUACCAGCCCAGCUACCAAAACAAGGGGUACGAUGGGAUGAAAAAAUCCUCGCUCUACCAGGACGGGGAAGAGAGCGAUACAGGCACAGACAUCCUGGUCAACACCAAGCUACAGGACAUAUCCCCCCGCCUCUCCCCCACCAACCCCGAUCCCCUCCACCGGAGGACAGGCAGUCACCAGUACGGAUACCGCAGGCGACGAGACUCCCUGGGGUCAGAGGGAUCACUGUCAGAGGAGGAGAUGGAGAAGCCGACGUUCUCCAAACACCCCAGGUCUAAAUCUGCUGACGGAAGAGAAUUAUUACGGAGUUCCCUCUCAAUGGGUAUUGAACGGUCAGGACCAGUCGGUACAGAAAGGUCAAUGAUUUUGAUGACCCAACCUCUGGAUCGCACUCUGAACACCAGGAACCCCCCACCCCCAACAGCAAACCUCCGAACCAUCACCCCCGGCGUACUGACUACCCAACACAACAGAAACAUGCUCGCUUCAUCUGCAGGCUCCCUAAUGUCACUGACGACUGGACUUAAACCAUUCUCUCCCCGAUCUCCCGGAGACUUAAACCUAGAGGAUGUGGUCAAAUUCUCCAGGGCGGGGGGAAAGCUGAGUCAGGGGACGGUCAAGUUUGUGGGUCAUCUACCAGGCCGCAGUGAUGCCUACCUCGGGGUGGAGCUGGAUAAAGAAGAUGGGAAACACGACGGCAAAUUUGAAGGAAUGAGAUAUUUUAGAUGUAAACCCAACAAAGGAGUGUUUGUAGCUUUCAACAAAGUUGUGAUGGCUUGGACAAGAUGAGGUCUACUGCCGGUCUAGGAGUUAUUUCCCUUUGAUGCAGCUUUUGCUAGAAAAGCACACCUCACACAGUAUAUACAUUGAAAUACUUGUACUGGUGAACACUAAAUCCAAAACCUUCAAUCAUCAUUGCCAUAUCUUAGUUUUAUAAAAAUCACAUGUAUAUUUAUUUUCAUACACAUUUUUAUGAAAUUUGUUAGCAACAAUAUUUAUUGCUUAUUGAUGGUUUUUUAUUUUCAUUUCUUAUUUUUGAAAGACUGAAUUAUUUGUAAAAACUUAUUUUUUUAUGAUAUUUGUUGUACAUUUUUUGAUACACAAAUAUUCAAUAUGGAGGAAGCCAAUGUCUCUACCUACAGCCAUACACUGGCUGUCUGUUUGUCCGUCCAUUUGUCUGUGUUGUUUUGGAAUAAAUGUUUUGGAAAGGUUAAUAGGCGUUUGAAGCAUUUAUUAAGUAAGUGUUAGAAUUUUUUGCUUGCUUUGUAGAACAGUUUACUUCCAAAGGUGUAUGAUUUUGAAUAAGUAUGUAGUUUACAAACUUUUUUUACAGAAGAAUUAUACGUGUAUUCAUAAACCUGUCAUAUUUUUAUAACCUAUUAAUAAGGCUUUUUUUAACCUUUUAAUAAAACCUUAUAGUUUCAUGAAUCCGUCCGUUUUUUAAAUAUUAUUUAUAAUUUCAUCCGUCCACUUUGUAUAGCCUCUGGUAAACCUGUUUCUUUUAUAUUUAGUCAUUCUACAGAGGUUUUGAGUUGGAAUAAAGUGCUUACUUUUGAAUUACCUGCAUGUAUAAAUGAGCUGUGAUAUAGUUUAGGACGUCAGAGGUCUGACAUUGUUUGUUUGUAUUGUCCAUCAAUAUAUAUCUAGUUUAUGUAAUUUAUUUUUUGUUUGUGCAGACCAAAUAAUUUUAUCUAAUUCAAUUGUUUUGAAUAAAUUGAUUUACAAGG
rnacentral:misc_RNA from 1 species